ensembl:lncRNA
AAAAGUAGAUAACUUAAAAUAAUAUCAUUGAUAUAGUGGAUUUUUGGACCAAACCUUAGCAUUCAUUUGAGUAGGGUAAAGUUGAAAAUGAAAACAAAACAAGCACAGUAUGGGGAAAUAUAUUUAUUCAACAAAGUGGCAGAUAUUUUGUGAUCUAAGAAUAGGACAUCUUUGUAAUGAGGCUAGUUUUUAUCUCAUCUCAGGAGGAGUUCAAAUCAAUCAACGCUGGGGCAUAAAUCAUUUUCUGAACCUGUCUGUCUGUCUAUGUAGAAUAUAUUAACACUGUUUGCACUAUUGUCCACUGCAUCGUCACUGUAUUGUCCACUGCAUCGUCGACGCGAUCGUCCGUUGCCAGGCAACGGACGACGCGAUCAUCUGUUGCCAGGCAGGUUUGGAAUGGAUUACGUAUGGAUGACGUGCCCGGUACAAAUUUGGCAACCGGUACAAACUUGGCAACCGGUACAAAUUUGGCGUGACAGCGGCAUGGAAAUCUACACUUCAGUCUCUGCCAGAUCAUCUCUCAAUACUCACAGAGCUUUCCCGCGACUCCAGAAAUGUUUCUCCAACGCUGAUCCUGCC